rnacentral:rRNA from 1 species
UACGUAGGGUGCGAGCGUUGUCCGGAAUUAUUGGGCGUAAAGGGCUCGUAGGCGGUUUGUCGCGUCGGGAGUGAAAACUCAGGGCUUAACCCUGAGCCUGCUUCCGAUACGGGCAGACUAGAGGUAUGCAGGGGAGAACGGAAUUCCUGGUGUAGCGGUGAAAUGCGCAGAUAUCAGGAGGAACACCAGUGGCGAAGGCGAGUCCCUGGACGGUACCUGACACUGAGGCACGAAAGCUAGGGGAGCAAACAGG